rnacentral:rRNA from 1 species
AGUGAACGCUGGCGGUAGGCCUAACACAUGCAAGUCGAACGGCAGCACAGUAAGAGCUUGCUCUUACGGGUGGCGAGUGGCGGACGGGUGAGGAAUACAUCGGAAUCUACUUUUUCGUGGGGGAUAACGUAGGGAAACUUACGCUCAUACCGCAUACGACCUACGGGUGAAAGCAGGGGAACUUCGGACCUUGCGGGAUUGAAUGAGCCGAUGUCGGAUUAGCUAGUUGGCGGGGUAAAGGCCCACCAAGGCGACGAUCCGUAGCUGGUCUGAGAGGAUGAUCGGCCACACUGGAACUGGGACACGGUCCAGACUCCUACGGGAGGCAGCAGUGGGGAAUAUUGGACAAUGGGCGCAAGCCUGAUCCAGCCAUACCGCGUGGGUGAAGAAGGCCUUCGGGUUGUAAAGCCCUUUUGUUGGGAAAGAAAAGCAGCAGGUUAAUACCCCGCUGUUCUGACGGUACCCAAAGAAUAAGCACCGGCUAACUUCGUG